CUUCCUCAAUCCCCACCUACCAAACCAAAGGUGAGGGCGGUGUAUAAUGAGCAGUUAUCAGAGAAGAUGGAAGAUGGAUGUUGUUGGGUACCUCAGCCUUCUCCUUGUCUGUUGUUCCCAGCUCAGUGCUGCUGGUAAGCAGCAUCGUGUGCAGAGCGCAGCCACGUUGAUCAGAGAAAGGAGUGCAGGUUUGUGAAAGAGGCACAUCUGCAGGGCAGUGCCUUCAUUACUGCGUUGUGUCCCACAGGUGGCAGCAGACUGCGGCACUCCCGAGUGCCGUAACGACCGCAUGGAGAUGCGUGGCUCUUCAGGCAGCAGCAAGGAACCGGAAUCUGCAUUUCCUGGGAUGCCCGGAACUCCGCUUUGCUGGCUGGUAAUUGUCUGCCCAGCAGGUGGCAGCAGAGUUGCGUUGCUCCUGAGCGCUGUAAGGACAGCACGGAGAUGCGCGGCUCUUCAGGCAGCAGCAAGGAACCGGAAUCUGCAUUUCCUGGGAUGCCCGGAACCCCGCUUUGCUGGCCGGUAAUUGUCUGCCCAGCAGGUGAAGAUGCCUUCGACGCUUCCAGUCGAUGACUUCCCCCCUGCGACGCCAUUGGCUUUCCAGGCCUCCCACACUCACCGCCAGCUCGGUUCGGUCAACCGUUACCCGAAUCCCCGCUCCGUUCCCUUUCCAUGAUCUUCCCGUCACUCUGCCACAAGCCCCUACCAAGGUCAUCGCAGGCAGCGUGUGGGAUGCGGCGCUCGGUCUCAUUGCAGUUCAUCCCAUCGGCCUCAGCCCAGCGAUCCAACCCACCCGCACCCUUCCUGAGGGCCCUUCUGCUCCCAGGCCAAUCAACGCUUCCUUCUGAUGCCAUCUGCGUUCCUUCCAGGCCAUUUUCAGGCUCGUGCCCCUUUGUGGCCAUUUUGAGAGUUGUGCUGAUUUCAGCAUGUGCAUUCAAUUGACUUCAACCAAAUUGGCUUUAGCUUGACAUACAAUUAAUGUAAACCAAAUUGGCUUUAGUUUUACAUUCAAUUGACUUCAACCAAAUUGGCUUUAGCCUUGCAUUCAAUUGACUUCAACCAAAUUGGCUUUAGUUUUACAUUCAAUUGGCUUCAACCAAAUUGGCUUUAGCUUUACAUUCAAUUAAUGUAAGCCAAAUUGGCUUUAGCUUUGCCUUGGUUACGGGGUUGGGCUAGCCUUGCUUUGUUUGCUCCUAGGCAGGGCUAACCCAACCCCGUAACCAAGGGCCGUUGGAGGCAAUUUUGUUCCUUCCCGGCCAGUCUGAGACUCGCGCCCCAUUGCGGCCAUUUUGAGAGUUGUGCUGAUUUCAGCAUCUGCGUUCAAUUUAUCUCAACCAAAUUGGCUUUAGCCUUGCAAUCAUUUUGCAUCAACCAAAUUGGCUUUAGCUUUACAUGCAAUUGAC